AUGGACCACACCUCCAUGCCCACAGUUUGUGGAUUUGGCUCGUCGACGCGCAGCUGCGGCCGCGGCGAGGCGCCCUCCCUCACCACGCCUACGCGGGCCGCCGUCGCGCCUCCUCUUCACCUCGCCGGCGCCGAUGUAGGUGAGCAGCAAGGGGAGGCCGAGGCCGGGGCGCAGGAGGUCGAGGCCAGGGAGCGGGAGGAAGCUGGAGGCGGGGGAGAGAGGAGGAGGCGGAGCAUCCUGGAGCCGUCGUCCAUUGUGAACUCACCAGCCGAGAUGCGCACGGCUGGGUGCUGGGGAGAGGAAGGACGACUCACACCUUAUCCUCUUUUUUUUUAUUAA
rnacentral:rRNA from 1 species